rnacentral:rRNA from 1 species
ACGUACACUCCUGCGGGAGGCAGCAGUGGGGAAUAUUGGACAAUGGGCGCAAGCCUGAUCCAGCCAUGCCGCGUGAGUGAUGAAGGCCCUAGGGUUGUAAAGCUCUUUUGUGCGGGAAGAUAAUGACGGUACCGCAAGAAUAAGCCCCGGCUAACUUCGUGCCAGCAGCCGCGGUAAUACGAAGGGGGCUAGCGUUGCUCGGAAUCACUGGGCGUAAAGGGUGCGUAGGCGGGUCUUUAAGUCAGGGGUGAAAUCCUGGAGCUCAACUCCAGAACUGCCUUUGAUACUGAAGAUCUUGAGUUCGGGAGAGGUGAGUGGAACUGCGAGUGUAGAGGUGAAAUUCGUAGAUAUUCGCAAGAACACCAGUGGCGAAGGCGGCUCACUGGCCCGAUACUGACGCUGAGGCACGAAAGCGUGGGGAGCAAACAGGAUUAGAAACCCCGGUAGUCCCAUGA